rnacentral:misc_RNA from 1 species
GUGAAGAACGUAGCGAAAUGCGAUACUUGGUGUGAAUUGCAGAAUCCCGUGAACCAUCGAGUCUUUGAACGCAAGUUGCGCCCGAAGCCAUUAGGCCGAGGGCACGCCUGCCUGGGCGUCACACGUCGUUGCCCCCCCAUCUACUCCUUCGGGAUUGCGGGGGGCGGAUGAUGGCCUCCCGUGCGCCACGCCGCGCGGUUGGCAUAAAUGCCAAGUCCUCGGCGACGCACGCCACGACAAUCGGUGGUUGCGAAACCUCGGUUGCCCGUCGUGUGCGGUCGUCGCGCAUCGAGGGCUCGAAAAAAUUGCCGGGUUCCGGCUCGGCUUUCAACGCGACCCCAGGUCAGGCGGGGUUACCCGCUGAAUUUAAGCAUAUCAAUAAGCGGAGGA